rnacentral:rRNA from 1 species
CUGCAGUGGAGCCAUCCUUGAAAUACCACCCUGUCGUGCUUGACGUUCUAACCUGGGCCCAUUAUCUGGGUCGGGGACCGUGUAUGGUGGGUAGUUUGACUGGGGCGGUCUCCUCCUAAAGAGUAACGGAGGAGCUCGAAGGUACGCUCAGCGCGGUCGGACAUCGCGCACUGUGUGCAAAGGCAUAAGCGUGCUUGACUGCAAGAUCGACGGAUCAAGCAGGUAGGAAACUAGGACUUAGUGAUCCGGUGGUUCUG